rnacentral:lncRNA from 1 species
GAAACCACUUUUUCAUCUUUUCUGUCUUCUUUCCCUGCUCUCCUGUUUGCUUCUUUCCUUUUCUACCACCGUUAAGAAAAUAUGUGAGGUGGUGCCUAAGGUCAGGUUUCCCAGAAGCAGACACCGCAACAAGCAACAAGGAUUCACAAGCAAGUGACUUAUUAUGCGAGGGCUCCCAGGGCAGACUGGCGAAGGGGGAGGGGAAACAGGGCAGGCAAGGAGAAGAAGCCGUGCAGGGGUAUGAUCUCAGGCAAAAUCCACAGUGGGUAGCUUCAGCCUGAUCCCAGGAGGAACAUUGGAAGUUGGUUGAAUCUGAAGAGCCCUUGGAUACGGAAGGCUGACUGUGUAUGGCUACUCUGAAGAAUGCAAGAAACAGUGUGUGAUACGCUUAGGGCUUAGCACAUUUUGGUACUCACUAAAUUUUCUCAACAUCUUCCUUCUACUUGCUCCUGGUACCCCUUAUUCAAGCACCAGCUGCCUUCUGCUCUCCCCAGCCUGCUAGAACACACCUGGGUAGGAACCCGCACUGUCCCUAAGCAAUGCCUCCUUCCAGCCUUCUCCCUCCACAUCUCAUCUUUAUCCCAAAACUUUGGAUAAACUGAAUCAUGCUCAUUUUAGUAUUCCUAACCUAAAAAUGACUCUCCAGCAAUGACAUUGAGAAGUGUUAAAAAUCUAGGUAUGUCAGGGCUGGGCACGGUGGCUCAGGCUGGUAAUUCCAGCACUUUGGGAGGAGCAGGCGGGUGGAUCACCUGAGGUCAGGAGAUCAAGACUAGCCUGACCAACAUGGUGAAACCCCAUCUCUACUGAAAAUACAAAAAUUAGCGGGGCGUGGUGGCACAUGCCUGUAAUCCCAGCUACUUGGGAGGCUGAGGCAGGAGAAUUGCUUGAACCCGGAAGGCGGAGGUUGCAGUGAGCCGAGAUCGCGCCACUGAACUCCAGCCUGGGCAACAGAGUGAGACUCGGUCUAAAACAACAACAACAACAACAAAAACAAACAAACAAAAAACCUUUGAACUUGAACUGGAAUUAUAAAAUUGACCUAGUGACCUGAGGCUCUCUCCAUCUCACUCACUUCCAGUCCUCUAGGUCCAGCUAUGACUGAGGUCAGCAGUCAGCCUGGGGUCCCCCACCCCAUCUCAGUUGAGGGCUCCCUCCGGGUGAAGAACAGCUUGGCACAGGCUCCCAGGCACACAAUCUCUUUCAUGUCAUGUGACAGGAUUGUGAUAUUUGCAGUUUUGUGGGACGAAAACACAUGCAACAAAACUUUGGCCAAGGGUUUAUUUCUGUGACAUGCUGAGCCACUUACCUUCUGCCCAGAACUAUAAGGUUAAAAUUUACUUUUAUGAUUUUGCAGCCAUCUAUGGAGCAUGUGGUAUGAGUCAGAAAUGGUGUUUUUGCCCAAUUCAGAGACUAGUGCAGAAGACAGACAAAGAAAAAGACAACUCAGGUCUAAUACAUUGUGCUUUUUGUGGGGAAGCGUGGGGUGCUGUAAGAAUACAAGAGACGGAUUAGUAACCAGUCCUUUCAGGGAGUUUAAGAACUUUCCAAAAAAUAACAACCUGAGACCUAGAGGACAAAUGAGAGUCAGGGAGAUAAAGAGCAGAUGGAGGUCACAAGAGAAUUUCCAGGGUUAGAAUGCCAGUGCCAGGGUCUGAAGGUAGAGAAACCAUGAGUAGUAACCCACCCAUCACCUAGAAGGGAAAAUGUACUGGGACAUAGUUCAAAGCACCAUCAUGCUACCUUUUGGGUUACAGGAAAAAAGGAUCUUAAUUGGCUAAGAAACAGGCCAUAAACAGGUUUUUAUUUUGUUCUACUUUGUUGUUUUUAUUGCACAACUUCUUAGACCCUUUAGAGUCCUUUUACAUGUUUAUCAACAAAUCCUGCGAUGGGCCUUUUUCCUCCCUGACAAGUACUUAGUGUGGCCCAUAGAGCCCAGAGAGGGUAGAGCCAUAUUGGUGAAAGGGCUCAGCUGGAGUACAGAGAACAAAGUGGAUGAGAACUCCAGCCAGCACUGGGGGGUCAUUUCUGUGGCUCCUUGAGCAGCCCUCGCCAGCACUCCUUGUACCAGCUUUCAGGGACGAACUGGCACUUGAUCAACCUUGUCAUCAAGACUGUGGCUCCUAUUCACAAUAGCAAAGACUUGGAACCAACCCAAAUGUCCAUCAAUGAUAGACUGGAUUAAGAAAAUGUGGCACAUAUGCACCAUGGAAUACUAUGC